rnacentral:piRNA from 1 species
UGGGAUUGAGAAGGAUACAUUUUUUGAGC